UUAAUGGAGAGUUUGAUCCUGGCUCAGGAUGAACGCUGGCGGCGUGCUUAACACAUGCAAGUCGAACGAUGAAGACCGUGCUUGCACGGUUGGAUUAGUGGCGAACGGGUGAGUAUCACGUGAGUAACCUUCCCUUGACUCUGGGAUAAGCCCGGGAAACUGGGUCUAAUACCGGAUACGACCAGUCCUCGCAUGGGGUGCUGGUGGAAAGAUUUAUCGGUCUUGGAUGGACUCGCGGCCUAUCAGCUUGUUGGUGAGGUAAUAGCUCACCAAGGCGAUGACGGGUAGCCGGCCUGAGAGGGUGACCGGCCACACUGGGACUGAGACACGGCCCAGACUCCUACGGGAGGCAGCAGUGGGGAAUAUUGCACAAUGGGCGAAAGCCUGAUGCAGCGACGCCGCGUGCGGGAUGACGGCCUUCGGGUUGUAAACCGCUUUCAGCAGGGAAGAAGCGCAAGUGACGGUACCUGCAGAAGAAGCGCCGGCUAACUACGUGCCAGCAGCCGCGGUAAUACGUAGGGCGCGAGCGUUAUCCGGAAUUAUUGGGCGUAAAGAGCUCGUAGGCGGUUUGUCACGUCUGCUGUGAAAGCCCGGGGCUCAACCCCGGGUGUGCAGUGGGUACGGGCAGACUAGAGUGCAGUAGGGGAGACUGGAAUUCCUGGUGUAGCGGUGAAAUGCGCAGAUAUCAGGAGGAACACCGAUGGCGAAGGCAGGUCUCUGGGCUGUUACUGACGCUGAGGAGCGAAAGCAUGGGGAGCGAACAGGAUUAGAUACCCUGGUAGUCCAUGCCGUAAACGUUGGGCACUAGGUGUGGGGGACAUUCCACGUUUUCCGCGCCGUAGCUAACGCAUUAAGUGCCCCGCCUGGGGAGUACGGCCGCAAGGCUAAAACUCAAAGGAAUUGACGGGGGCCCGCACAAGCGGCGGAGCAUGCGGAUUAAUUCGAUGCAACGCGAAGAACCUUACCAAGGCUUGACAUGGACCGGACCGCUGCAGAGAUGCAGCUUCCCUUCGGGGUCGGUUCACAGGUGGUGCAUGGUUGUCGUCAGCUCGUGUCGUGAGAUGUUGGGUUAAGUCCCGCAACGAGCGCAACCCCUAUCCUAUGUUGCCAGCACGUAAUGGUGGGGACUCAUGGGAGACUGCCGGGGUCAACUCGGAGGAAGGUGGGGACGACGUCAAAUCAUCAUGCCCCUUAUGUCUUGGGCUUCACGCAUGCUACAAUGGCCGGUACAAUGGGUUGCGAUACUGUGAGGUGGAGCUAAUCCCUAAAAGCCGGUCUCAGUUCGGAUCGAAGUCUGCAACUCGACUUCGUGAAGUUGGAGUCGCUAGUAAUCGCAGAUCAGCAACGCUGCGGUGAAUACGUUCCCGGGCCUUGUACACACCGCCCGUCAAGUCACGAAAGUGGGUAACACCCGAAGCCGGUGGCCUAACCCUUGUGGGGGGAGCCGUCGAAGGUGGGACUCGCGAUUGGGACUAAGUCGUAACAAGGUAGCCGUACCGGAAGGUGCGGCUGGAUCACCUCCUUU
rnacentral:rRNA from 1 species